rnacentral:lncRNA from 10 species
AGACAGAUAUUCACGGGAGGGAGACGGGGAGGCGAGAGUAGGGAGCGAAAUACACCAACAUCAAAUAAGCUAGGGAGGGCUUUAGGAAGCCAGGCGUGUCCUUGUUUAGGACUCAGGCGACAGAAAUGGUCUUCAUGGCCCCUGCAGGCAGAGGCUGACUUUCCCGCCGCUUCUGCAGGUCUCCAGGGUCCGGAAUGCAGGGGGACUGGCUGUGAUUCUCCGUGGAAAAUGAAAUGUCACUGCCCUGUAACGAGUGUCCAGGAGGGGAGGGAGGAUGACAAGUAUCUCUAGCCUGGUGCCUGCAGGGGAGCUGCAUCUCCCGGCUCACAGGAGGCAGGAGAGUCCGUGUUUGGAGGCUUUGGCGUCAUCUUGGUGAGCUCCUCACCAGGGAGGUGGAGGAUGUUACCUCCAAAACCAAUCCUCUGCACCCCACAGAGCUUUUAGCACCAAGCAGAUGGGCUCUGAAUAAACUCAUCAGAGAUCAAGGCAAACAGCACAGAACUGAUGCCCCAGUGAUUCUGCUGCCUCUGCCAGAGUCAGAAAACUGUGGAUGUGGGAAGCUGCCCGUGGAGUCAGGAAGUCAUCCCUACUGAUGGAGCCUCUGCAGCCACCUUGGUCCUGGUCCACACCAGCAAUGUUGAUGCUGCCCUGCAGCCUGCCUAUCCCCUGGCUUAAUUCCGGCUCCAUGCAUGUGACGAGCAGAAAAAAGAAAGUCGCAUCUGGACCUCCGGCGGCAAGGGAGUCUGAGAAAGAUAGAUCUGUGCAUGGUCAUCUUAACCCUCCUGUAUCCUUAAAGCCCAGCACCAGGUCAGUUCUUCUGCAUCAGUUAAGCUCCUUGGAGGCCCAGACAACAGCACUUAAUUCAGCAUUGCCCUGAGAGCUGGCAUGGUGCUGGCUAGGUGACUGGCAUUAUGGAAAACUGACUGCAUCUGCUUUAGGAAGAGAGGCAUGUCCAGAGUGGAAAUUCUGGAAGCUCCUUGCAAAACUAAUACCUGGGCUUCUGCACCUCCCCAGCUUGAUGUCUGCUCUUAUCCCUCAUCUCUGCAAAGCCAGGUGCUUCCUCUUGCUUAAAGACCAGCUCAAGGCUCUCUUAUUCCAAGAACUGACUCCAUUACCUCCAGCUAGAUAUAAGCCCAUGGGUCUGUGGAUCCUUCUGAUGUGAAUUUACCUGGAUUUCUGUUUUUCACGGACAGAGGGCUUCAGGAAAGCUCCUGGCCUGACAUGAUGCUAGGCACAUAGUAUUGCUCUUUCCUUCCUACAUCCUCUUCUAGGGAGGGCAUCUUAUCCACCUUGAACAUUCCUACCAUGGAAAACAGUGGCUUGCACAUAGCACAAGGUCAGUUAAUAUUUUGGAUUCCUACAUAAGUCUCAGAGAUGUUAAUAGGAAUUACCAUCUUGUUGCAAUGAAUGUGAGCAAGUAUGUGUUGUGCACAUAAAUUAUCCCACUCCCGCCAAAGGACUAUGUUACUCUUUUUCAAUUACCCAAGCAACUACUCCAGUGCCUUAUGCAUGAUUACCUUCUCUAAGUAUUUUCUUUCUAAAUUAAUACAAUUAUUAACUUCUCAGGGUGUGAACUGUAAAGGGGAAAAUGUGUGCUUCUCUGUUUAAAACAUUAGUAUCUUUAUUUUAAAUCUACUCCAGACUUGCCCAGACUCCUUCACUACUCAGAGUCUCUGAGCAUCGGCUUCCUUAACAUUCAAAAUGGAAAUGAUAAUAAAAACUUUGCACAUCUCUAAAAAUCUCUGAAAAAAAAAAUUUGUCACAUUGAACACAUAAAGCAAGCACUGGAUAAAUUGUAGCUGCAUGGUAUAGUACAGACAACUUGAGACAUAGAUGGAAGGCAGAGCCUAUAUUUUAUUCCUGCCAAACAAAAAUUAAAACAAAGGCAUUAUAAGAACCCAGUGUUGGUGACAUUUGUGAUGGAACAGGCACACUUAUUUUGGAGGCCUGUUUAGCAAUGCUUACCAGGAGUCAUAAAUAUUUUCAUAUACUUUUACCACCGCACAGCAGUUCUAAGAAUUACUACAGGAGAAUGAUUUUUAGAGAGGAACAAGUUAAAUAUAGGCAUCAGUGUAAUUUACAAAGGUGAAAACAAAAAGUAACCUAAAUGCACAUGAAUGGGAGCAAGGUUACAUAAAUUACAGUGCAACAAUGUAAUGGAAUAUCUCACAGCAAUUAAGAAGGCUAAAGACAAAUCCCAGGUAGAAACAUUUAGUGAUUGAAAAUAAUAAGUGUAAUGGUAAAACACAAUUUUAUGUAUACUUUGAUUAAAAUGAUUCAAAAUGAUAUAUUUACUUACAGCCGUGAAGAAAAGAAUAAAGACAUGAACAUGUUUGCUGUGUUAUAUUAGUGAA